rnacentral:rRNA from 1 species
CGGGUGAGUAACACGUAAGUAAUCUGCCCUCGAGUGGGGAAUACCAUCGGGAAACCGAUGCUAAUACCGCAUAACGCAGCGGCACCCCAAGGUGACAGUUGUUAAAGAAGCAAUUCGCUUGAGGAGGAGCUUGCGGCAGAUUAGCUAGUUGGUAAGGUAAUGGCUUACCAAGGCUACGAUCUGUAUCCGGUCUAAGAGGACGGUCGGACACACUGACACUGAAUAACGGGUCAGACUCCUACGGGAGGCAGCAGUCGGGAAUUUUGGGCAAUGGGGGAAACCCUGACCCAGCAACGCCGCGUGAAGGAUGAAGCCCCUCGGGGCGUAAACUUCGAAAGAAUGGGAAGAAAACAAUGACGGUACCAUUUAUAAGCUCCGGCUAACUACGUGCCAGCAGCCGCGGUAAUACGUAGGGAGCAAGCGUUGUUCGGAUUUACUGGGCGUAAAGGGCGCGUAGGCGGCAUAUUAAGUCGGCUGUGAAAUCUCCGGGCUUAACUCGGAACUGUCAGCUGAAACUGAUGUGCUGGAGUGCAGAAGGGGCAAUCGGAAUUCUCGGUGUAGCGGUGAAAUGCGUAGAUAUCGAGAGGAAC